rnacentral:lncRNA from 1 species
ACUGAGGGUGUCACCCGGGACCGCGGCUCAGCUGAUGGAAUUUGAGAAAUGGCAGGUGUGAGGACUCUGACCUUCCCAUGAAGCAGGUCAUAAGACCCUCAUGUGAGAGAUGCCCUCUCUAUACCUGGAGAAAAGAAGCAGUCUUAUUUGUGAAGACAGAGAGACGCCAAGAGGAAUCUAAAUGAAUAGGCCUUGGAACCCCAGACGCACGGGCCUUGUGCUGUCGCUGCCGUGGCACCCCUUCUAGAAGGACUCUAUUCUCUAUAACAGAAGUGGGAGCCUUGGACAACUGAACGCCUAUCUCUAGCUCAAGAAAUGUCAGCUCUUUUUUUUUUUUUGAGACUGUCACCCAGUCGGGAGUACAGUGGCGCCAUCUUGGCUCUCUGUAACCUCCACCUCCUGGGUUCAAGCGAUUCUCCUGCCUCAGCCUCCUGAGUAGCUGGGGCUACAGGUAUGCACCAUCACUCCUGGCUAAUUGUUGUAUUUUUAGUAGAUAAUGGGGUUUCACCAUGUUGGCCAGGGUGGUCUCAAACUCCUGACCUCAGGUGAUCUGCCUGCCUCGGCCUCCCAAAGUGCUGGGA